rnacentral:rRNA from 1 species
AGUGAACGCUGGCGGUAGGCCUAACACAUGCAAGUCGAACGGCAGCACAGUAAGAGCUUGCUCUUACGGGUGGCGAGUGGCGGACGGGUGAGGAAUACAUCGGAAUCUACUUUUUCGUGGGGGAUAACGUAGGGAAACUUACGCUAAUACCGCAUACGACCUACGGGUGAAGGCAGGGGAUCUUCGGACCUUGCGCGAUUGAAUGAGCCGAUGUCGGAUUAGCUAGUUGGCGGGGUAAAGGCCCACCAAGGCGACGAUCCGUAGCUGGUCUGAGAGGAUGAUCAGCCACACUGGAACUGAGACACGGUCCAGACUCCUACGGGAGGCAGCAGUGGGGAAUAUUGGACAAUGGGCGCAAGCCUGAUCCGGCCAUACCGCGUGGGUGAAGAAGGCCUUCGGGUUGUAAAGCCCUUUUGUUGGGAAAGAAAAGCAGCAGGUUAAUACCCCGCUGUUCUGACGGUACCCAAAGAAUAAGCACCGGCUAACUUCGUG